UUGAUAUAUCCAGUGGGGUUUUACACACGAAAAGCUAGCAACCUGAAAAAAGUAGCAAAAAUUUGUCUAUCAAAAUACAAUGGGGACAUCCCUAGUUCAUUGGAAGAAUUGCUUCUGCUCCCAGGAAUUGGUCCCAAGAUGGCUCAUCUAGUUAUGAAUGUUGCAUGGGAAAACGUCCAAGGGAUAUGUGUAGAUACUCAUGUGCAUCGUAUUUCUAAUCGGCUUGAAUGGGUAUCACGUCCUGGAACUAAGCAGAAAACGAGAACCCCUGAGGAG
rnacentral:misc_RNA from 1 species